rnacentral:ncRNA from 2 species
UGGAAAUAGUCGGGGAGCCGAAAGGCUGAGAUCGCAUAGCGAGACCCGUAGAACCUGAUUCAGUUAGCACUGGCGUAGGGAACUAUUAGCGUCGCACC